GCAUACUUGAAGAGAUAUUCUAGUGAAGGCUCCCUUCUUGAGAGACAAUUGACAAACAUUUUUUCAUAAACUUUCAGAUUUUAUGAAGAUACUUUAUUGGUAAUGGAAUGAAGAUCUUGUUUUAGCAAGGAAGAAUACAAAUAAAAUUAUCAUAUGAGAUGCAGUAAGGAAGUGCAGAAUUGUGUUGGGGAAAGCCCUGAAUCAAAAGGAUACUCUAAAGAUGUCACAAAAUUGAGAAGUUGGAAAAGACAUAAAGCAAAAAUAAACUUUGACAGAAUUUUGCAUUUGACAGUGGCAGAAAGCUACCUUUCCUCAUUAUGAAGGUAAGUAUAUGUGCAUAUGUGUUAGAUAAAUAAAUUCUGUAAUAUUUCUCCUAUCAAAUUAUUUAACUGCUCAUUAAUUACCUGUAUGCUUUGAGUUAUGCUUAUUUUUAUAUUGCACAGCCCUGUUCUGGGGCAGUGAGAUAGGUUGUCAAGCCACUUAGGAGAACUCUAGAGAUGGAAUAUGAGAUACAGAGAUAUAAGGUUCUCUGAGAAAUUCUUAUAGAAGAAGUCAUGGUAUGGACAGGCAUUUUACCAGAAGGUCCAGUGAUGGCAGACUGGAUGUGUAUACUUCUGCUCCAUGGAAUGCCUCUAGUAUCUCACCAGAACAUAUCAUCUCCUAUCCCUGAUGGUGUUUUUUUCAGAGGUAGCUAUGUGGACAAGCAUUUCCCACUCUAUGAUGCUUUGAUCUGCACAGCAGGGAGAGGACUUUUUUUUUAGUUUAGAAGCAGUGUCUAGCUUGGUUUUGUCUCAUUGUGUGACUAGCAACCCCAAGGAAAUUGGCAUGCAUGAAGGACAAUAGCUCUCUAUAGAUAACACUAACUUGCCCUAAUUCCCAGUAUACAUGAGACAAAACCAAAGUCCUUCAAAAUAAUGUGUCUGGAUGUUUCAGCUCAGACUAACUUUUACUUGUCCUUACUUGCCCUUCCUUGUCCAGGUAUUUGGAAACAGAAAGGAGCAUUCAGGGACAUGGUAUUUUACUGUUCCCAUUUUCUUUAAGGAUGACAUAUCUCUAAUUUAUUGAAGCGUAAGAAUGAUUCAGUAGCUUUGUUUGGUUAUGUUUCUCUACCAGCAUGGUACAAUUUUUUAAUAGUUAUAUCAAUACCAUGGAAUUAUGUAUGAUAUACACAAAUAUAAAAUGCAUACUAUUGAAUAAUCAUGAAGUUAAACAACAAAAUGAAACGUUUUACCAAUUUGAAACUUUUUGCAUCUCCUCUACAUGUUUACCCAAUUUUAUUGGUUGUUCUCUAUUGAUUCACUGCAACACAAUUGAUAUUAUCUUGCCAGGGUAUUCAUAACAAAGUACCAUACACUGGAUGGAUUAAACACCCAAAAUUUAUUGCUGUAUAAAUUUGAAAAACGUAAGUUCAACAUCAAUAUAUUGGGACGACUGGUUUUCUUCUUAGUCUCUUCUUAUCAUACAGCUAGCUAACUUUUAGCUAUGCCUUUAUAUGGUCUUUUCCUAUGUGUGCAUGCACACUGUCUAUUUACUGUUGAGAGCCACAGCCGAAGGGGCCCCAGCAAACUUUCAGACUGCCAGCUGAUGAUUGGCUCACAGCCCCCAGCAACAUCUAGCUGAUUGGCUCCUCUGCGGUGAUGCUCAUUGGGCUGUUUCCCUGCCCUUUCAGACCACGGAGCUGCUCAUUGGGGGACUUUUUGGCUCCGCCCAUGCGACCCAGCCAAUCGGCCUCAAGAGCAGGAGGAUUGUGGGAGGUGGAGUGGCUUGAGGUGGUGGGAGAGGCUUGUGGGAAGCCAGUGGUGGCAGUUGGGCUCUGAGGGUUUUUCCUGAGGAGCUGUUUUGUUUGGUGUGUGGUUCUAAAAAUAAAGUUCAUUUCUUUUGACAAGUGGCUCCUGAAUCGUGCGCAGCCAGACUGCUGCAAUUUACUAAUCUCUUCUUGUAAGAAUAUUGAUCAUUUGAUUAGAGCCUACCCAUAUGACCCCAUUUUUCCUAAAUUGUCCUUUUAAAAGUCUCAGGUACAAAAAUAGUUAUAUUCCGAGAUUUUGGAGUUUAGACAUGAAUUUUAAAGGGAGAUUAUUUAGCCAUAUCACUACAAUUACAGCUUUUACUCAGCUAAAAUAG
rnacentral:lncRNA from 1 species